CCAACGGCUCUUUUCAGAGCCACCCACCUUCCUAGCAAAGAGCUG
rfam:Cariama cristata contig90874, whole genome shotgun sequence.